GACGAAGGUGGCGAGCGUUGUUCGGAAUCACUGGGCAUAAAGCGCACGUAGGCGGCUAAGUAAGUCGGAUGUGAAAUACCUCGGCUCAACCGAGGAACUGCGUCCGAUACUGCUUGGCUUGAGGUCCGGAGGGGAGAGUGGAAUUCCCGGUGGAGCGGUGAAAUGCGUAGAGAUCGGGAAGAACGCCGGCGGCGAAAGCGACUCACUGGUCCGGUACUGACGCUGAGGUGCGAAAGCGUGGGGAGCAAACAGG
rnacentral:rRNA from 1 species